UUAAAACGCUCGUAGUUGAAUUUUGAGGUUCAAUCUAAUGGUUCACUUGAUUGUGUAACCGUUAGAUUGGCUUCUUCCUACUAGUGACUCGAUUCUGUUCUUAAUUGAAUGGGAUAGCCAUCUCUCGGGGUGGUCGCUGGGUUAUCUUAGCUCCUCUAUGAGGCUGUAGGAUGUAAAAGUCUGAAAGUUUCAUACGAGGGUCAAGUUAAGGUGAUUUAGUGGAGUUCUAGUUCGUUUACUUUGAGAAAAUUAGAGUGUUCAAAGCAGCCUCUUGGGGCUUUGUAUAUGUUAGCAUGGGAUAAUAGAAUAGGAUCUGAUUGAUCUAUUUGUUGGUUUGAAUCAAUUAGAUAAUGAUUAAUAGGGACAGUUGGGGGUAUUUAUAUUGAAUGGUUAGCGGUGAAAUGCUCGGACCCAUUCAAGAUAAACUAAAGCGAAAGCAUUUACCAAGGAUGUUUUCAUUAAUCAAGAACGAAAGUUAAGGGAUCGAAGACGAUUAGAUACCGUCGUAGUCUUAACUAUAAACUAUGCCGACCAGGGAUGUGAGUGGUUCAACUCUUCUGUCAAAAGAAGAGACUUCCUCUUAUGCACCUUGUGAGAAAUCAUAAGUUUUUGGGUUCUGGGGGAAGUAUGGUCGCAAGGCUGAAACUUAAAGGAAUUGACGGAGGGGCACC
rnacentral:rRNA from 1 species